rnacentral:rRNA from 1 species
UACGGAGGAUCCAAGCGUUAUCCGGAAUCAUUGGGUUUAAAGGGUCCGUAUGCGGUUUUGUAAGUCAGUGGUGAAAGCCCAUCGCUCAACGGUGGAACGGCCAUUGAUACUGCAAGACUUGAAUUAUUAGGAAGUAACUAGAAUAUGUAGUGUAGCGGUGAAAUGCUUAGAGAUUACAUGGAAUACCAAUUGCGAAGGCAGGUUACUACUAAUUGAUUGACGCUGAUGGACGAAAGCGUGGGGAGCGAACAGG